GACGAACGCUGGCGGCGUGCUUAACACAUGCAAGUCGAACGGAAAGGCCCUGCUUUUGUGCGGUUCUCGAGGGGCGAACGGGUGAGUAACACGUGAGUAACCUGCCCUUCUCUUUGGGAUAACUUCAGGAAACUGGGGCUAAUAUCGUAUAGGAGCUCCUGUUGCAUGGUGGGGGUUGGAUAUUUUCGGCUGUUGGGGCUGGAUGCCCGGCUUAUGAGCUUGUUGGUGGGGGAGUGGCUGACCAAGGCUUUGCCGGGUAGCCGGCCGGAGAGGGUGACCAGCCACCAUGGGCCUGAGAUACGGCCCAGACGCCAACGGGAGGCAGCAGUGGGGAAUAUUGCCCAAUGGGCGCACGCGUGAUGCAGCAACGCUGCGUUCGGGAUGCCGGCCUUCGGGUUGUAAAAAGCUUUCGGCUGUGACGAAGCGUGAGUGACGGUACUGGGUAAAGAAGCACCGGCUAACUACGUG
rnacentral:rRNA from 1 species